GAAGGUCUCUCCCUCCCUGUAAUAACUGUUGUGGUACUGCUGGUGCCUGUGGAAGUCAUUGUGUCCCUUGGAGGGCUGACAAGCAGGAAAGGGCAGCUAUGUGGCACAGGCACUGGAGGAUAAUCAAAGCUGAUGCGAGGACACAUUUUGUUGAAUCGAAUGGACCUAGUUGGACAGCAUCAACUCCAUGCACCCUACGCCUGAGUACAGAGCCCGCAAGCAAACAUUCUGAUUCCAAGUGUCUAUGGAACUUGGAGAGGAAAGACACUGGACUAAUCUGGUGGAAGGCACAUGAAAGCAAGGAAUCUAAACUCAGGACCAGAAGUGGAGUGGAAGAGAGAAACUUCUGGGACCUAAUUAAUGGAACACACAGAGAACUUGAGAAGCACACCCGGCCUGGGAAAACAAAAACAAAAACAACAAACAACAAACAAAACAAAACAACAACAAAAAAACUCUGGAGCUGAAGAAUAGGAAUAUCAUUAUUUCCAGGUCCUUACCACAUCCUUGCAGGAAAGCAAGAGCGCCUUCUUUUUAAUGAUCCUCCAAGAAGGAGAGCACAGACCCUUUCUUGGCACACCAAUCCCGAGUUGAGUGACAUGUGCUUUAAACAGAGAAAGAUGGACAUUGCGCAUGUACCUGGCCGUGAAAUUAAAGACCAGGCCCUUUUGUUCUAUACUUCAUAGAUGUGAGACUAAUGGCCCUGGUUCUCGUUAUAAAACUUGGUGUAUGUGACAACUGCUACCAGCAGUGGAGUUAUAAGCAUUAGAAGAUUUAGAUUUUGCCUAAAGUUGACUGCAGUCUUUCCAAUGGCUGGUGGGCGGUGAAAGUGGUCAUUUGGGGGGCAGUAUGGUUAGGUCUCUAUCUGCAUAUGAAAUUUUUUGAGGUUCAUGAAGAAUUGGAUAAACCACAUCCAUGCAACCAGAGUACCAAUCUCAUUACAAAUUUUCCGGUGUUCUCUUCCCCAGAGCCAAUCAUGUAGCCCCCCUCCCCUUUUUUUUUCUUCAGAAAUCUUUAUUUUUAAAUCUUUAGUUGUAGACAAGGAACAUUCUAGAGCUAAACUCAUCUGGAUAUCUGACAGUUCUCCAGGUGAGAAAACUGGAGGGUUGGAAUUUUGUUAGUAAAUGAGCUGAUCUAGAACAUAAGCCUCCCGACUUGCUGGGCCUUUCUCACCACAUGGUUUUGCUGCCCUGUGGUUUGUGGAUCUGUGUAGAUUCACGGCUGAGUGUUGCUGGUCCGUGAUGGGACAAGUAAAAAAAGUGAAAGCAAACAUUUAGAAACUUUUGUAAAUAUCUUGACACAUGAGCAGACUAAUUUGUUCAAUGUAGUAAUAAAAUGCUUUGGACUUAUGAUUUCUUUUGUUCAUGUAGGAAAGUUAAAUUUCAGAAAAUUUUAUUAAAGUAUGCUUGACUUACAAUGUUAGAGUAGUUUCA